AGAGCGGGCCCGGUGCCGAGGGGUGGCAGCAGGGGGGUGGCAGUGACGGGCCGGGCAGCUGCAGUCCGGCGGUGGCUGCAACGAGGAGGGCAGCACUCAGCCUGCCGCCGCCAUGUGGGGCUUCCAGGGGGGCUCCCGGCUGCUGGCCACCAUGCUGCGGGCACCAAGGGUCCCCCGGGCGGGGGUCACCUCCAAACCGCCUGAACACCCGAUUUCUGCUGCUGAGCAAGCCAUCGCGCUAGCUGUGAUGUUUACAUGCUUCCUGGCACCAACAGCCUGGGUCUUGGCACACGUGGAGCACUACAAGAGCAGAGGAGAUUAAGAAGUGGCCAGAACGACCUACACCCCCGGGAGCAGAAGUGUAAGCGAAGAUCAGAUCACUGAACAGAUGUUCACCUGGGAAAGAACACCGAGUUUCUUCAUUAAAAUUCACGUUUGCAUUAAACA